ensembl:lncRNA
CUGGGUUCCAGGAGCCAAUGGGCCCUCGGGGGCCUCCAGGGGAUGGCUUUCCAGGAGAAAAGGGGAAAUCUGGUGAGAAGGGGGAACCUGGCCUGACAAGAGAGAACGUCAUCAAAAUGAUCAGGGACAUUUGUGGUGAGUUAAAACAGCUCAUUGACUAUAAUUGCAGUCGCUAUACUCAUAAUAUACAGGAGAACGAUCGCCUUACGGCGAGGAUAGCUGUGCUACAAGCCCAGCUUCAGACGCAAUCGUUAGGCAAGGGUAAUUUCAGUGUUAUAAAGGAUGAAACAGCGUCUGUGCCACCAGUAAGUACAGAUAGUAAUGUUAGUAUAAAACCCCUCGCACGGUCCCCACAGCCGGACAACUUUCUCACGGUUUCUGGAGGGAAAUGCUGUAGGAAUGCUCAACCGGUGUUGCUCAUUCAGCCGACAGAAACUUUCAACCGGUUUUCCCCAUUAAGCAACGAGUCGGAGUCAGAGGCCGAGCCUUCUCUUGUCUCUACUUCUCCCGUUACGGGGUCUGAGACGUUGAAGCUUCCCACCGUUAGCUCUGACAAAUUGAAAACUCUAGUCAUUGGCGAC